rnacentral:rRNA from 1 species
AUUGAACGCUGGCGGCAUGCCUUACACAUGCAAGUCGAACGGUAACGGGCCUUCGGGUGCCGACGAGUGGCGAACGGGUGAGUAAUGUAUCGGAACGUACCUUUCAGUGGGGGAUAACGUAGCGAAAGUUACGCUAAUACCGCAUAUUCUGUGCGCAGGAAAGCAGGGGAUCGCAAGACCUUGCGCUGAUUGAGCGGCCGAUAUCAGAUUAGCUAGUUGGGGAGGUAAAGGCUCACCAAGGCGACGAUCUGUAGCGGGUCUGAGAGGAUGAUCCGCCACACUGGAACUGAGACACGGUCCAGACUCCUACGGGAGGCAGCAGUGGGGAAUUUUGGACAAUGGGGGCAACCCUGAUCCAGCCAUGCCGCGUGAGUGAAGAAGGCCUUCGGGUUGUAAAGCUCUUUCGGCCGGGAAGAAAUCGUAUGGGCUAAUACCCUGUGCGGAUGACGGUACUGGCAUAAGAAGCACCGGCUAACUACGUGCCAGCAGCCGCAGUAAAAC